CCCAGGCACACCCAACACACCCCGUGCGCACGCCUAUGGAAGUGAGGGAUGGGGGAGACAGCCUACAUGAAGAGUCAGCAAGGAGCAAGAAGGUAAAGUAAGAAAAGGAGAAGGAACAGAAAUGAGCAGGAAGGGACAUCAAGGAGCUGGAAGGGACAGCAAGGAGCACAAAAGGUAAAGUAGGAGAAGGAGCACAAAGGAACAGAAAUGAACAGGAAGGGUCAGCAAGGAGCUGGAAGGUAAAGCAGCACAAAGG